UUUACAUUAAAUACAGACAGGACAAUUAAGGACCCUUCUCUAGAGUUUUCCAUUGCAUGAACAGUUUUCAAGGAUGAAAUCGCCGGACUUCCCCUCUCCACUGGGGAUGGCGGGCGGGGCAUGUCAGAGUCGAACUGACUAAAGCCUCCUGUCGCUCAACAACCAACAAACAACGUCCAAACCUCGCAUGAGAGACAGAACUCAUGAAAAGGCAAAGGGGGGAAAGUGAAGCGUUUAGUGCGGAGCACAUCUCUCCCAUCACCCUCCCCCUCGGGACGCCGGACCGGCGGUCGUCGGCGCCACGACCACCAGCCCUCUCGGUCAGCAGGCUGUCUGAAGCCCGCCUAGAUGGCGCCGGUUAGAGUGAGUUAUCCUACGGAAUACCCCGCUUGGACAGAACCAGCGUGGGUCGAGGAAAUUACUGCUGGUAGGGCUUUUUGUGAGUAUGAUGUUCUACGGUGUUUCCCGAAUACUAUGACUUGUCAUUGCUGAUGACUUAAACCAAUGGUGACUAGCUACCAUAAGGUAGGACGUAAACUCGUUUGCCUUCAAAAUAAAAUAAAAAAGCACCUACCAAACUGUUCCGGCCUCGACAUGCUUACUAAACUGCAAUGCGUUGUUAAGGUUUGUAGUGAAGAUUCCAGCUGCAAGACCGUAAUUUGUAUUGUUGGCGCGAUCGAUCACUUCUUCCAACGUAUCGAACUUUAGAAUGCUCUGGACUGGACCGAAAAUCUGUCAAAUAUCAAAAAUAUGUAAAAAACAUGAGAAUAACAAGAUAAAAUCGCUUUGUAAAUUUGCCAAUUUCAUAGGAGAGUUUCAGCCAGAACUAUUUUUUUUUAUUGCCUUUGUAGGCAGACGAGCGUACGGCCCACCUGGUGGUAAGUGGUCACCGUCGCUCAUGGACGUCAGCAAUGCCUGGGGCAGAGCCAAGCCGCUGCCUACUUAGAUAGUACGUGGCAAAAAUCCCGUGCAAAUGCACUGAAGCAGAAACUCAGCAUUUUCAUGUCAGUACAUCCAUACUGUCGUUUCGUACAGCUAGACACUAAACCGGUAAUGAGGGUACGAGCAACGGAGAUGAAAAUAUCAUCACAAAAAAAUAUUGUAUCAUUCAUUCCACAUUCAUAUAAAUACACAAAGAGAACCAAAAUCCUCAAAUAGACACAAAGGUUACAAAACGAUCCGUAAUAUUAAGAUAAUCGAAAGUCUGAAGCGCCUUUUUCUGCGUGGAGUAAAUUUGACGUAUAAAAGUAAUACCUAUUUUAAAAAACAAAAUGGCUUUUUUUCCCUACCUAUCCUAGUAGCCUCGUGGGGUUAUACUAGGUUCAUCUAACGUCUAUGCGAGCUCACGAGGCUCGGCCUGGUGAAUUUGCUAACUAGCCCUAGCAAGGGCAGUACUUGGCUGAAUCGCAUCGGAAUCGGGUCGGAGUCGGACAUCGGGUCGGAAUCGCGACCCACUAAGAAGAUCCGACGAGAAACUCAGUGGGCUAAUCUUGACAGUAAAAGACUAUCAACUAUAGACGUGAACUUUUUGGUAUACUGAAGAAUCCUUAUUGAUAAAGAAUGUCUUACUAAAUUCCUGAUUCUAAAUCAUUUCUUACUCUAAUGAUUAGCUUAUCAAAUGAUGUUAAAAAUACCUCUUCCUUAGCAAUAGUCAUAUCAUCAUUAACAUCUGCAAACACAGUAGGCUGGAUAUAAUAUCCGGCGGUACCAAUACGUUCUCCACCUGCCAGUAGGUUCGCUCCUUCUUUUUUUCCGGUCUCUAUUAAGCCCAAAACUUUAU